AACCGCCUGCUUCAGUCAGUGCAGAUUUUUUUACAAAUAGGGUUGAAUAAAGAAGUAAACUGGAGACUAUUAAUCCACGAAUGUAUAGUUUGUCUGCUGGUUAUUCGCCAACGUGAGCUCAGCUUGAGCAAGAGUGAGAUUAAAUCAAAACGCAUUUUUCAACUGAUUUCCACCCACUUGUGUAGACCGAUAACGAACAAGAAUAAAACUCAUUACACCAUGGCCUUUUAAUCAAACCACCUCUACCAUCGCUCGACCAAACAACCAGUAUCCAUUUAGUGGAAUCAUGCGAGCGGCAGUGCUGUGAACUCGUUAGAUCUACCGGAUAGAACUCGUAAACCACGCUUUAGCCAUCAAAUAAUAACCUUGAACCAACUAAAGCAAGGCUAAAUUGUAAAGAGAUCCAAGAGCAACUAUAAGCAAAAAGUAACACGAUGGGCCAACAGGAAAGCAAACGAUGCCGAGUUUGCGCCAUGAGGCUCGACCCGAAAAACAAACGCGAAAUGGAACAAGCACUUUGCUCCGAAUGUCGAACAAAAGGCGGCAAAGCAUUGUGGGAGAAUCGCGAUGUUCUCAAAACAGUGUUACUCGGUGGAUCUGGGGCGAGCGAGAAAAAGAAGACUAAGAAAGAAAAGAAAGACAAAUCAAAACCAAAGCGUCGUUCACGUGCGACGUAAAUCCCAUAUUGAAUAAUCAAGUGUUAUAUUAUCAGCAACUUGACUGAAAACACUAGCAUAGUGCAUUAUAGUAUAGUAUGCCAUAAAUUAGCUUGAUUCAUACCCCUCA